UGUGCUGGCAGGUGCACGGGCACGUGAAAGUCGGCGGGGACCUCGUGGAACCCCAUGGCAUCAAGCUCGGCGACAAUGUGCAGCUCCCAUCCCAUCAAUGCCACGGGCAUGGGCGCUGGCACAGUCGGGGCGACGGGAGCCGGAACGGGAGCGGGGACAGGCGCGGCAUCUUCCCGCAAGGCCGGUUCAAGCUCGUCCCAAAGCGCCUUAUGUUCUUGAGACUCCGGCUGGGUGUCUUCCUCAGGAAACUGGAAUACUAAAGGUAGACCAUCAUGAUGCGGCAUGGCGUAUGGUUAGGUCAGGCUGGUUGGAGGUAGACGACAGGAGAAUCGGAGGGGAAGACAGAAGAUUGUAGCGAUACCGGGUAGUGCGGGGUUGGUUUUAAACUGCGGCGCCGAUGACAUUAAAAGUGGGAGCAGUUGGGACGAAGGUGGGCGGCGGAGCCUGGUCAAACGGCUCGCCUCCCGGUGAGCCUGCGCAGCGGUCUGCUCGCACGCCUCCCGUCGACUCACACGCUUGCUCGGACGACACCUGCCGAUGAGAAGCGGGACUCGUGGUGGCACGUAAAUGCCCACGAUUUCAAUAGUGAAAGCGUCCGCCUUAACGUGAUAGGUCUUUGUUCCAAAAUAACUUGGCUCUUCAUUUGUGCAACUUCCCAUAAGCAGCUUGUCCCAAAUUGAAAAAAUAAUUACGUAGGAAUACUUGUGCCAUAUUACGUGACCAUGCUCAGUUUCACGAAUUUCUGGUCACUUUUGGAUUUUCUGAAAUUUAAAAUCCAGGAUUCGAAACAAUAUCAUAACCUGCAUCAUGCAAUAAAUUUUCAAGCGAUACAUCUUUCCUGUUGUAUUUCUUAAGAAAGGAUUUGGUCAAACAUUUUGCUUAGUUAGACUUCAGACAAGUUAUAUUUAAAAGGAUAAUCCCUCCGUACCAGUGCAUUGCCUAAUAUAUUAACUCAAGUACUAGUAGGCACGAACAAACGGGCUCAAUUCUGUGCUCAUCCUGGUGUAGUAGUAGUACUAGGCAAUGCAGUUGACCGGUGACCUUGGUAGCGGCGACCAAGGGAAUUGAACCGUGCUCGGCACGGUAGGUAACGUUGUCUAGUUACUAAAGCAUCCCUCCAUUGUUCAUCGGUAGUCAUUAUGGACCGGGGACAUGAGGAGAAUUUCCUAGGGCUGGAAUUCUGGCCGCCAGAUAUUUUGACUCGAAUCGCAGAGGCUCGACUGGUUGGGGUUGGCUUAAUGUGCGUACCACGCACGCCACCAGAAGGACACGAGCCCAUUUUUUUUGAGGACCAACACGAGCCAAGGUCUGGCUAGUACACCGUUGGGUCCUACCAUUAGAGAAUACGAAAGGAUCCCUAAAAUAAAGAAUACGAAAGGAAUCUUUUAAAUUCGAAUGAAUCUAUGUGUAUUACAAUGCCCGUAUUUUCCUUGCAAAUAGUAAUCUCAAUGUGGUAAUUGAAUUAUGACGAGUUCUUGAAUUAGAGUGAGUUUGUGAUAUAGUGAUCUCAACGUGUAUUUCACAUUUCAUGGUAUCCCUAGUAAGUUUUUCAUUGCAAAUUUAAAUUUAAAAGAUGAACCGUAUGGUGGUGAGAAAACUUUGUAUGUAUCAAGCAUACACCACACACACACACACACGAACACACACGAACACAACAGCAAUCCAAUAAGUAUAGUGCAUCUAUUUUUCCAAACCAUGCAUGUAUGACACGAAUUCAGAAAUACUCCUUCUGUUCCUAAAUAUUAGUCUUUUAGAGAUUUCAACAAGUGACUACAUACGGAGCAAAAUGAGUGAAUCUACACUCUAAAAUAUGUCUAUAUAUAUCCGUAUGUGGCAGUCCAUUUGAAAUCUCUAAAAAGACUAAUAUUUAGGAAUGAAGAGAGUAAAAUGUAAGACAUGCAUGGUCCUCAAUUCAAUAUUUAAAAUGAACAGGAAACUGAAACAUGAAUAAUAAGUCUAGUAUUAAAGUACAUGCAAAUGUUGUGCUUAGGCGGAGCUAUGUAGAUUGUCGGGAGUUAACCCCUCGACCAUAGAUAAAAUUGUGAAGCUCUGUUUAGGAUUGUUUAGAUUAUAUUUUUCCCCACCCUACCAAACACCGAUUGGUUGUGCACCCCCUCCUCCCCGGUCGAAUAUCAUGUGCCCCCACACCUUAGAUGCUAUAUGUUGAUACGAGUUGCUUGGAGCUUGUUGAUCUGAAAUAUAGCAACUCACAUGAUGUCUUAAUAUUUUUACAGGAAACCUUAAUGAGUUUGAGAAUUGCACACAAUUUGUACAAAAACUACUCAGAUGCCCUUGGAUCCCAUAUCCAACAACCUCGAAGCUCGUAUCACCGUAGCAUCUAAGAUGAAGGAGAACAUCAUAUUCUCCUAUAUGUAAGAAUAUCAUGUGCUACCACACCUUAGAAGCUUUGGUGAUACAAGCUCUUCAGAGUCGUUGGAUUUGUGACCCAACAACUCCUCGGUGGUUCGAAUAUUUUUUUGCAGAAAAGCACCCAAAGAGUUCGGCCACUGCUUACAAGCACAAAGACUGCUCAUAUGCCAUUGGAUCUCAGAUCAAACGACCUCGAAGCUCGUAUCACCGUACCAUCCAAGCUGCGGAGCACCUGAUGUUUUCUCACACGGGAGAAUAUGAGGUGCUCCUACAUCGUAGAUUCUAUGGUGAUACGAGUUCACGGAGAUCUGACGGCUCACAGUAGGAGGUUUGAAUGUUUUUGCAAUAUACGCCUGAGAGAGUUUGGGAAUUGCGCAGAAAGUACAAGUACUACGCAUGUGGCAUCUGAUCACAGAUCAUACGACCUAGAUGCUCGUAUCACCGUAGCGGCUAAUUAAGCUACGGGGAGCACCUAAUAUGAGCAACGGGGAGCCGUUGGAUCCAAGAUGCAGCGGCACACACGAGGCCUGAAUGUUUUAUUUGCAAAGAAACCUUGGAGAGUUUGGAAAUUGCACAUAAUUACAAAGACUACUCCCAAGCCAUUGGAUCUCAGUUCCAACAAUGUAAAAACUCGUAUCACCAUAGCAUCUAAGCUGCGGGGUGGAUGUGAUAUUCUAUGUCGCUGUCAUUUUUGUUCGUAAACUUGCCAAAUACGUGUAACUCGUGCCGUUACUUGUCUAACUGCGCAAAGUGUUUAUUCAAAAAAACAUCUUACACUGAAAUAUCGGAACAACACACGGGGGUCCCACUUGUCAUUGAUCAAAUUUGAACCUAAAACUAACAAAUAUGAAAGAUGAGAGUCGAGCUGGCAACCUGGACUACAAAGCGUAAGUCGAUAGCCUAAAACAAUAACGGUUGUUGGCUUUGUCCCAUAACUUGAUUUUAUACAGUAUUACGUUGAGUAGAGUAGAGGGACUGCCUCGUCAACACGUGCAUGACCAUUGACUCACUUACUGGUGGGUCCCAGGUCUGUGAUCUCUCUCUCCUCUCCAUCGUCUAACCUUUAGACGCACGGGCACACACGAGGAGCGGCACUAGCUUGCUGUGAUGUUAUUAUAACUAAAAAAAUCUUGGAAAAUAGAAGAAUCGCCUAGAACAAGAGACGUUGUGGCUGGUCGAGACGGAGCUAACCACACCUAUCCUCUAUGCCACGUUGGCAUGAUGAAGCUGUGUGGCUAGUGGGGUGUUUUCGACCGACUGGCUGGGUCCCGAGGUCAAACCGUAGGUACUACUACAUCUAAUACACUAUAUUUUUACACGCACAUUUUUCCUCCGUGCCGAGAUGUGGCACACCCUACCGCGCGGUUUCGGGGUCCUCCCGGGUGGUGCACGCAUAUAUUCUUCCUUGCCGAGACGUGGGACGCCCUAUCGUGCGUUUUUUGGCUCCUCCUCGGUCGUAGCGCUGAAGCAAGUAAAUGAGUCGUCAAAUCAUGAAACACCACCUUUCCCGUCGAGUACAUCAGUGAAGCACGGUGGCUAGCUUGUUGGGCUAGUGCGACCGAUUAGCUAGGCUGCUGCCACAUUUGUUUUUUCACCCCUUUUUUAUCUCCUUGCCGGCAGGUAAAUUUAAAUAUCCACCGCGGUGUUGCUCUAGUCUUUGGGUGCGGCAGGCGCGAUAGGAUUUUUAAUUUUUGAUUGACGGGAGCAGGCACGGCAGUAAUUAGUCACUAUGACUCCGCCUGUAAAACCCACUGCUCCCUGAUGUGAGAAGUCAUCGACUGGUGUUUUCCCAUGGUGAAAACCAAAAGAUUCCCCGCUCCUCGGCUGGCUCCCUCCGCCUUCCCGUAGAUUGCAUUGCCUUUCAGCCGUUUCGCCCCCUUUGCUUCCUCUCCCAAUUGCUUCUACCUGGUGCCAUGGCGGCGCAGAAGAUUGCAUGGGCGUUUAGUGACGAAGAGACAAAAAAGCAUUUCGUCGAUAAAGAUGAGUGCUUUCGAUCGGCUUGUUGCACUAAAGCUGCGAGGUUCUUUUUUGAAACCCGAAAAUAGAUGCACGUGGGCUCUUGACUGAGGCAGCAUGAGGUUGGAGGCUCAUGUACUUUCCUUUUUGACAGAGUAGAAUGACGUGGCACAUAGGUUUCCUAAUAUAGAGGGUAUGCUCGAGCACUGCAUCUUGCGUCUGGGCGCUGCCUAUCCAAGUCCAUAAAUAAUUGCAAGAAAAAAUUCCUAAGGGGGAAUAGGGUGCGUUUUGCAAAUCUAUGUAUCAAAAGAAGAAAAUAAGGUCGCAUAGUUGAAUAGUCACAAAAUAAAAAGGCAUUAUAAUAAUUUAUUAUACCUUCUCCAAAUGGGCAAGAUGCAGCAAGAAGGAAAAAAUAUGUACAAAUGAUAAACUUGCGGCAAUUAGCAUCAAUAUGUCAAACUUAACAGAGAAAAAGAAACACAUAUAUGUACUGCAUGAGAUAACUUACUUGGCCACAUCGGUGAAGAAAAUGUGAGGUAAAAAUCCUAACACGUGUAGAUAUUGAAUUCCGAUGCUUCUAUAUUUAUCAUAAACUUUGCAUAGGCAUAUCAAUCGAUGCAUUGGUGUUGCAGCUCUUACAUGAUAAUUAGUUGGGAAGAACACCUGUAUAUUGACCUGUUCAAUGAAGCAGUUUACAAACUUGUAUACUAUUAUAGAAACUGAUCGAAAUAUGCCCUAGAGGCAAUAAUAGAGUUGUUAUUAUUAGAUUUCCUUAUUCAUGAUAAGGUUUAUUAUUCAUGCUAGAAUUGUAUCGAACAGAAACUUAAAUACAUGUGUGGAUAUAUAAACAAAUACUAUGUCCCUAGUGAGCCACUUCUAGACUAGCUCGUUGAUCAAAAGAUGGUUAAGGUUUCCUAACCAUAGACAUGAGUUGUCAUUUGAUAACGGGAUCUCAUCAUUAGGACAAUGAUGUAUGGACAAGACCCAACUGUUAGCAUAGCAUAUGAUCGUUCAGUUUAUUGCUACUGCUUCUUAAUGUCAAAUACAUAUUCCUUCGACCAUGAGAUCAUGCAACUCCCGGAUACCGGAGGAAUACCUUGUGUGUUAUCAAACAUCAUAACGUAACUGGGUGAUCAUAAAGAUGCUCUACAGGUAUCUCCGAAGGUGUCUGUUGAGUCGGCAUUGAUCGAGACUAGGAUUUGUCACUUCGUAUGACGGAGAGGUAUCUCUGGGCCCUCUCGGUAAUAAAACAUCACAAGAAGUUUGCAAGCAAAGUGACUAAGGAGUUAGUUACAUGAUGAUAUAUUACGGAAUGAUAUGUCUCCAACAUAUCUAUAAUAUUUGAUUAUUCCAUGGUAUUAUAUUAUCUAUCUUGGAUGUUUCAUAUGCCUUUCUAUGCUAUUUUAUAUGAUUUUUGGGACUAACCUAUUAACCUAGAGUCGAGUGCUAGUUUCUGUUUUUUCCUUAUUUUUGAGUUUCAAAGAAAAGGAAUAUCAAACGGAGUCCAAAUGAGCUGAAAAUUUACAGUGAUUUUUAUGGACCAGAAGAAGCCCCCGAAGCAAAAGAGUUGGGCUAGAAGAGCCACGGGGCCUCCACAAGGGUGGAGGGUGCCCCCCUAGGGUGUGCCCCCUAACUUGUCGUCACCUCGUGGACCCCCUGACUUGUUCCCGAUGCCAAAAAUUCCUAUAAAUAUAGGAACCCCCAGAAAUAAACCUAUACCGGGGGUUCCACGCCACAAGCCUCUAUAGCCACGAAAAACCAAUUGAGAUCCCGUUCCGGCACCCCGCCUGUCGGUGGAAACGACACCUAUGGGAUCACGAGGAAUCCCUUCUACGGUUGGCGGGCGCGGGGCUGUGGAAAGAGCGGGUUUGAGGGAUCAACACGAGAGAUUUAUCCAGGUUCGGGCCGCAAGCGAUGCGUAAUACCCUACUCCUGCUAGCUUGUGUUUAUCUGGUGUUCUUGGACUAGCUACAAAGCGUGCCGGGUCCAAAAAGUCUGAAUCCUCUCUUAGUACACCGCGAGCCUCCUUUUAUAGUCAAAAGGGGCUGCCACAGUGGCACACAGGAGGUGGAAAGUUGUACAGUGGUCGAGUUUAUCGCCUGACAUCACAGGACAAAAUGCAUUAAAUGCGCUACUUAGGUGUCCUCUUGCUUUAUCGGGGGCGGUAACGAAGCCAGUCCCGUCCGUCGCCGCCUCCCCUCGCUCCGACGCGCGUCCAGGCUGACAGGCGCGCAGCGCCAUGCUGGCUGACUGGCUGCUGAGUUGGCGCGGUGGCAGAGUCUUCACGAAGAUCUACAUGCCACCACGCACGUGCUUGCUGAGUUGGCCUGGAAGCUGCACGUCGCCAUGUAGGGGCUUGCCUUGUUGGCGGGUUGAUCGCUAUGUUGGAAUGGCGGUGGAGCCUUGGCAGGUGGGGGCCUGGCUGCAGCCCCGCAGAUGUCCCUGGCAAGGGCCUUGCCGAGGCCUCGUAGGUGUCCCCGACAAGGUUCUUGCCGGGGGUCUCCGUCUUCUGGUCCUCAUCUAGCAUCGUAUGUUGGUCUUCACAAAGAUCUGCAUGCCACCAUGGAGGUGCCUCCUGAGCCUUGGUUACAAUGUGGUUGAGGACGUUGGAACUCUCAGGCUCAAGGGUGGCGGCUCCGCUAGUGUUGGGCAGGUUGCCCCGGCAAGAGGCCGCCCCGGCAAGGACCUUGACGGGGGAGUUUCACCUCGCCCCUCAGCUCUUCAUGCUUCUGGUCUUGAGUAUGCCUCUGGUAAUCUUUGCUUCUUCUGCCCCGCCAAGCAUGGCCACGGGCGUGGGGCUGCGACUGCCCACGCACGAGUAAAGGGGUACAAAAAGGGGCCCCUACUUUUGUACACCGACAGGAGCCCCCGGGCCUGGUCCACAUAUAAGCGUGGGGCGUUAUUGGGCCAGGCCCAGAACAGUGCGCGGGCGCGCGCGCGGCAGAGUUUUUACUGUAGUAACUCCCUCGCUCGUUGCGCUUCCCCAUGACCCGCGUUGAAUGCGUGACGUGGGGGUCGUGCAUGGGGCGGUUGCUGCACGCAUGCGUCACAUCGUGGUAAAGAGGCGGCUCGCGCCUUCCCCAUAAAAAGGAAAAACCGCAGGCGCGCUACCAUUUACCCUCUGUGCCUUUUUCAAUCUCGGAACUGCCGUUCCCCUCUUCUUCCUCGGGCGAAAGAUUCAAAGCUCUCGCCUCUGCUCGCCGCCGCUGCGCCCCCAUUGCUCUUGAUCCUUCGCCCUCUCCCAGCCGCCAUGGCACCCAAAACCAGCAAGGGCAAGGGAGCGGCCAAGGACGCCGGGGAGAAGGAGGCGCUGGAGUGCGAGUUGGCGGUGCGGCGGAUGCAGCUCGCCUACUUCCCUUCGACGGUCGAUGUGGUCCACCUCAGGAACUACUUCUUGCCCCUGUGGGGGAGGAAGACGACGGGGCACUCUGCCUCGCGCGUCGUCCCCGCCGAUUUCACCAAGGCUGGCCCAAAUCAGUACCCCUUCUUCGUCGAUUUCUUCUCCUGCGGGCUCUGCCCCCUUUCUCUGACUUCUUCAACGACGUCAUGCACAUCUACAGCUUCCAUCUUAUGGAUCUUACGCCGAAUGCCCUGACGUGCAUGGCUUUCUUUGCCCAUCUCUGCGAGGGCUUUGCCGGGGUGCUCCCUAGCACGACGCUCUUUCGCCACUACUUCUCCUCUCGCCUCCAGCCAGGGGGCGCCAUCUCCGGCUGCAUCACCUGGAUCCCGAGGACCCAGGAGAAGGGCAUGUAUCCGGAGGGUGCCCAGAAGGAGAGGUGGGAGGAGUGGCGGAGCCAGUGGUGCUGGAUCGAGGAAAAAGAUCCGCAGGAGUUCUGCUGAGUUCGUCAGAGCCCGCCAACCCGCCGCAGGGACUAGAGCGACCUCGAUGCCAACGACGAGAAACUCGGUCGCCACCACCAGGAUCCAUCGCCUCACCACGGUCGGGCUCACCCUCGAGAUGAUCGGGGCCGACUUCAUCCGUUGCCGAAUCGCCCCGCUGCACAACAAGGGGAGGCCGGCCUGGGAUUUCAGGAACGCGGCCGACAUCAUGAGGCUCCGCCCUGGCCUGAAGCACAACUUCACGGUGAUGGGGCACGCCCAUUUCUGUCAAAGGCUCUUUCAGCUCGACUGGACGGCGACGGCAGGGCUGAGAGGACUGGCAGGGCCGCGAAUGCCGGCAAGGCCGUCAAGGGGCCCCUGUUUGGGUUGCUGGCGGGAGUGGUCCCGCUGAGAACAACUCUCGCCAGUCCACCAUCAUCGCCAUGAUGCCGGACUUCAAUGCGCAUGGCCUUGACCCGGCCUGGGCCGAGCCGCCAGUGGAGAAAGUGCAGGAAUUUUUCGACACUUAGUCAGAGAGCUAUGUCCGUGACGAGCCGUUGCUCAUCCAGGACACCACCAAGGCGGAGCUGGACUACAUCGCCACCAGGGCGGCGGAGGCGGCGCUCGCCAGGGAGGCCGGCAGCGUUGGUGCCAUGGAGGACGAGGCUGACGCGGCCGUGGAGGAGAAGCCCCCCUUGUUGAAGACGCGGGCGACGAGUCGUCCGAAGAGGAGGUCGAGGCAAACGACCCCCCGGCCGUGGGGAGGCAGCGCGUCCUGCGGCGGGCCAGCUCUGGCGAGCCGGUUUGGCCCGGCAGGACCACGCUGUGGCAGCCGGCCCAGGAGCAGCUCGUGUGCCAGACGAGGGCGAUGAAGGCCGUGGCAGCGAAGAAGGCGGUGAAGGCCGCGGUGGUGAAGAGGACAGCGACUCCUUCCUCCUCGUACAAGCGGCACCGAACCCCAUCCCCUUCUCCUCCUCCUUCAGACAGCACCUUGGAGGCCGAGUUUGACCUCGGAUCUUUUAGCCCGGCGAGGAAGGCGAAGCUAGUGGAGGACGAGUAAGUAUUUUGCCCCCCACAUCAUCUCCUGACCUUACUCUUGUGUUAUCUUGCUUUGAUUUUAUGUUAUCUUCACAGGGACAUGGAGACGCUGGCCCAGAGGGUGGUGAAGAGGGCCAAGGCCUCAACGGGCGACAAGCCCCCGUCGGGUACUUCGCGUACGCCGUUGCUGGUGGAGUGCAGCCCGGAAAACAGCCCCCGACGUAGCCCCCGCUUCAGCCCCCAGUGUGAGUCCAUCACUCACUCCUUCACUGAUGAGCAUUGGGGUGUCAAUUCUUGAUGCUGACCUUGCUGGGUUUGCAGGAGGAGAACGGCAGCAGGAGGAUCCGCCAAGGGCCACUCCCAACACGCCGCCCCGUCAACCACACCGCCCUGAGGGGCGUCCCCGGCAAGGGCAUCCACCACCAAGCCCACACAUAUGGAGGAGGAGGAGGCGAGCUUGGGUGCCGGUGGCUCUGCCCUGGCAACGAAUGCUGGCGGGGAGGGCGCCACUUCUUCCCAGCCUGGUGCGGGUAGGUUAUUCACUUCUCGUCCCUGUUCUUUUCUCUUCUUUUUAAACCUUGAUCGUGGCCCCGGCUCAUUCCUCUUCUUGGUAUCCAGACCCUUCCUCGGGGGACCGGGAGGACAUUGACACCGUCAUCGAGGAGGGCGCCAGGGACUCCGAGGCCGAGGCCGACAAGAUCACCGCCGAGGAAGCCGCCAAGGCCGCCGCUGAGGAUGCCGCCUAGGGGCCUACCGGGGAGGCCGACAAGGCCGCUGCAGAGGAGGGGGUGGUUGACAACCAGCCUUCCUCCUUUGUUGCCUCUGGCUCGGGCAAGUACUUGAAGGUGAGCGACGACCUUUUCGUCCACCUCCCAGGAAUGGUGAGCACCAGGGCGCCAACCGAGGGGGAGGUGUUUGACGACUAGGCGCUCGCCUCCGCCGGGCUUCAGGUUGUUGACGAAUCGAGCGUCGGCGGUGGCAGUUCCCAAGAGGAGCAGCUUCUUCGGGCCAUGAGCGUCAACUUCCAGAAGCUCCAGGCGCUCCACCGUGCCCGCCUGGACUAGGCAAAAUCCAGGAUGGUGGUGGCGGACAAGGCGGAGGCGGAUCUUGAGGAGCGCGUCGCCGAGACGCAGGCCUGGUUCCGCAAGGCCCACGAAGAACUGAAGGUUGCCCAGGAUUUGCUGGCUGAGCGUAAACAGGAGCUUAUCCUGAAGUAGGCUGACGUCGAGAAGGCCCAGGAGGCGGCAAAGGAACAGGCCGCCAAGGACGAGGCUGCUCGGUACCAGCACCAGGCUCAGCUGAACUCCCAGGAGGAGGACCUUUCUGCCCGUGAGGAGGCGCUCGCCGCCACACUCUGCGGCAAGGAUGAGGAGGUCGAGAAGCUCGUCGCGCAGCGGACCCAGGAGCUGGAGCAGAGGCACAAGGAGGCACUCAAUACUUAAGCCCUGGUCCAUGCCGACAAGGUGAAGGAGCUGGAGGUGGAGCGGGAUGGGCUGAAGAAACAGGUCUUGGAGCUGACGGAAGAGAAGGACGUGGCCAACGUCGCUUUGGCGAAGGCGCAUGCCAGAGUCCUCGGCAAGGCCGGGCUACUCUCCAAGGCCAACGACUCCAUCAAUGACCUGAGGCUGAAGCUGGAGGGCUUGGAGGGGAAGCUUUCGGAGGCCAGGGCCCGCGAGGAGACCCUGAACAAGGACCUGGAGGAGGAGAAAUGGCUGCGGGGGGACGGCGCCGCUGAGUACGAGGAGUACGCGAAGGGCAUGAACCUCUGGAUCAGCCACCUCGUCGUCAUCGCAGGGAAGCUCACCGCCCAGCUAGCCGUCAUGGGCAUGCCGGACGUCAGGCUCUCCGAGGAUAGGAACACAAGCCCCAAGACAGGUUAACCUUGUUCUUCGAGCGCAUCCUCGAUGCCCUGGAACAGCUCUGCUCCAACCGGGUCGCUUAUCUGGCCAACGAGUCCUGGAGGCUCUGCCGGGGUGCCCUGACCAAAGUGCUCACCAAGGUGGCGUUCUGGAACCCCACCGUAAACUUUGCCGAUGCAUCGGAGAGCUUGCCGGAGGAAGCGGACCUCGCGGCGCUCAAGGAGCGUAUCAAGCCUAUCAUCGACUGCGUCGUCGGAGUCCAGAGGGUGUGGAGGGCCAGCGCCGGGACUAGGCACCCCGUUUCUCGUCGCCGCUGCGAGUUCAAGACCAAGACAAUUUUAUCUUAAGUUAGAACCGCGGCGAUUACUUGAUGUAAUAUAACUUUGCAGUACUUUAAGAUCAAGCAUGCUAUCUUCCUGUUAGAUCUUUCUUUGUAUGUUCGCACCCUACGCUUGGUUGGAUAAGGCUGCCGAUGCGUAAACCCAUGCCGGGGUGCUUUGAGGACAGAUCCUUAGCAGCCUGUCGGGGGGCUCUUGCUGCCGGGCAAGCCACCUUGCCGCUCCCAGCGCGGUUGCUUGAACUGUCGAGCAGACUCGAAACAGGACAAGAGCGCUGCUAGUACUGGGUAGGCCACCUUGCCGUUCUCAACGCGGCCGCUUGAACUGUUGAGCGGACUCGAAACAGAGCAAGGGCGUUGCCAAUAGAGGAAGGGUCCCAUUGCGUGCAGGUUUCCCAUACAAGGGACGAGAUCUUUCGAGGAAGACUGACUUAUAUAAACGAAAUUACUCAAAAUUUUGCGCGACUUAGCUUUUCAUGGCCCGGAUAGCUGUUGCGGCUGCGGAUGGCACCAGAGGGCGGCUGAGCCAUGCCGCCUUCUCCUCUCGAGCCAUCCCCAUGAAGAAGUCGAUGCGCUGACCAUCAAACCGGAUUUUCACAGCUUGCGCCCCCUACCUGGCGCGCCAAAGAUGUCGGUGGAAACGACACCUAUGGGAUCACGGGGAAUCCCUUCUACGGUCGGCGGGCGCGGGGCUGUGGAAAGAGCGGGUUUGAGGGAUCAACACGGGAGAUUUAUCCAGGUUCGGGUCGCAAGCGAUGCGUAAAACCCUACUCCUGCUAGCUUGUGUUUAUCUGGUGUUCUUGGACUAGCUACAAAGCGUGUCGGGUCCAAAAAGUCUGAAUCCUCUCUCAGUACGCCGCGGGCCUCCUUUUAUAGUCAAAAGGGGCUACCACAGUGGCACACAGGAGAUGGAAAGUUGUACAGUGGUCGAGUUUAUCGCCUGACAUCACAGGACAAAACGCAUUAAAUGCGCUACUUAGGUGUCCUCUUGCUUUAUCAGGGGCGGUAACGAAGCCCGUCCCAUCCGUCGCUGCUUCGCCUCACUCCGACGCGUGUCCAGGCUGACUAGGCGCGCAGCGCCACGCUGGCUGGCUGGCUGCUGAGUUGGCGCGGUGGCAGAGUCUUCAUGAAGAUCUGCAUGCCACCACGCAGGUGCUUGCUGAGUUGGCCUGGAAGCUCCACGUCACCAUGUAGGCGCUUGCCUUGUUGGAGGGUUGAUCGUUGUGUUGGAACGGCGGUGGAGCCUUGGCAGGUGGGGGCCUGGCUACGGCCCCGCAGAUGUCCCCGGCAAGGGUCUUGCCGUGGCCUCCUAGGUGUCCCCGGCAAGGAUCUUGCCGGGGGUCUCCGUCUUCUGGUCCUCAUCUAGCAUCGUAUGUUCUUGGUCUUCACAAAGAUCUGCAUGCCACCAUGGUGGCGCCUCCCGAGCCUUGGUUCCAAUGUGGUUGAGGACGUCGGAACUCUCAGGCUCAAGGGUGGCGGCUCCGCUGGUGUUGGGCAAGUUGCCCCGGCAAGGCUCUUGCCGGGGCCGUGAAGGCCGCCCCGGCAAGGACCUUGCCGGGGGAGUUUCACCUCGCCCCUCAGCUCUUCAUGCUUCUGGUCUUGAGCACGGCUCUGGUAAUCUUUGCUUCUUCUGCCCCGCCAAGCGUGGCCACGGGCGUGGAGCUGCGACUGCCCGCGCACGAGUAAAGGGGUACAAAAAGGGGGCCCUACUUUUGCACACCGACACUGUCGGAGGGGGAAACCAUCACCAGUGGCCAUCUUCAUCAUCCCGGCUGUCUCCAUGAUGAGGAGGGAGUAGUUCACCCUCGGGCUGAGGGUAUGUACUAGUAGAUAUGUGUUUGAUCUCUCUCUCUCUCUCAUGUUCUUGAUUUGGCACGAUCUUGAUGUACCGCGAGCUUUGUUAUUAUAUGUUAAUCAUAUGGUGUUUCUCCCCCUCUACCUUCUUGUGAUGAAUUGAGUCUUGCUCUUUGAGGUUCCUUUAUGUUGGAUUGAGUAUUGGAUUUGAGAACAUUUGAUAUAUGUCUUGCGAUGGGAUAUCUGUGGUGACAAUGGGAUGUUCUGUUGAUUCACCUGAUGUAUGUUUUGGCACUCAACUCGCGGAUUCCCGAGGUGACAUUGGGGUAACCUAUGCAUAGGGGUUGAUGCACGUUUUCGUCCUACAUUCUCCGAUAGAAACUUUGUAGUGACUUUUGUUGCACGUUGAGGGAUUGCCAUAUGGUCUAUGUUAUCAUUGUUGAGAGAACUUGCACUAGUGAAAGUAUGAACCCUAGGCCUUGUUUCCAAGCAUUGCAAUACCAUUUUUGCUCACUUUUGUUACUUGCUACCUUGCUGUUUUUAUAUUUUCAUAUUACAAAAACCUAUAUGUAUCAUCCAUAUUGCACUAGUAUCACCAUCUCUUCGCCGAACUAGUGCACCUAUACAAUUUACCAUUGUAUUGGGUGUGUUGGGGACACAAGAGACUCUUUGUUAUUUGGUUGCAGGGUUGUUUGAGAGAGACCAUCUUCAUCCUAUGCCUCCCACGGAUUGAUAAACCUUAGGUCAUCCACUUGAGGGAAAUUUGCUACUGUCCUACAAAACUCUGCGCUUGGAGGCCCAACACGAGUCUACAAGAAGAAGGUUGCAUAGUAGACAUCACAGAAUGAGUAAAAUGACUUGUCGGUAAUUAGAUUUAACUAGGUAUGAAGAUACUGACAAUCGAAUCUCGGGCAAGUAACAUACCGACAGACAAAGGGAAUUAUGUAUGUUGUCAUAAUUGUUCGACCGAUAAAGAUCUUUGUAGAAUAUGUAGGGAUCAAUAUGGGCACCCAGGUCCCGCUAUUGGUUAUUGACCGGAGAGGCGUCUCUGUCUUGUAUACAUCAUUCCCGAACCCGUAGGGUCCGCACGCUUAACGUUCAUUGACGAUAUAGUAUUAUAUGAGUUAUGUAAGUUGAUGACCGAAUAUUGUUCGGAGUCCCAGAUGAGAUCAAGUACAUGACGAGGAGCUCCAGAAUGGUCCGGAGUUAAAUAUUGAUAUAUAGGACGAUGAUAUUUGGUCACCGGAAAGGUUUCAGAAUGUAUCGGGUAGUCAUCGGAUCACCGGAAGGGGUUCCGGGAGACCCCGGGAGGUUAUUGGGCCAUAUGGGCCAAACAAGGGGAGCACACCAGCCCACAAGGGGAUGACGCGCCCCACCUCUAGGCCACCGGCCCUAAGGUAGGAGAGGGGAAGGGCUAGCCCCUCCUGCCUUCCCCUCCUCAUGAGAGAAAGGAAAGGGGGGCACCCUCUCCUGCCUUCCCCCCGCGCGCCCAAGAAGGGAGGGGCGUGGCCAACGGCCCCUUGGGUGAGCCCUAGGCUGCCUCCCCUCCCCCACCUAUAUAUAUGUGAGGAGGGAGAGGGGCAACAGACACCACGAUCCCCAAGUCGUGUGUGGCACCCCUCUCCGUCUAGUUCACCCUCGGUCAAAUUUUCGUAGUGCUCGGUGAAGCCCUGUGGAGUUGUUCCAUUACCACCGUCACCACACCGUCAUGCUGCCGGAACUCAUCUACUACUUCACCCAUCUUGCUGGAUCAAGAAGGUGAGGACGUCAUUGAGCUGAACGUGUGUUGAACUCGGAGGUGCCGUACGUUCGGUACUUGAUCGGGCUGAUUGUGAAGGUGUAUGACUACAUCAACCACGUUGAUAAACGCUUCUGCUUAACGGUCUACGAGGGUACGUAGACACACUCUCCUCUCUAGUAGCUAUGCAUCUCCAUGGGUAGAUCUUGCAUGUGCAUAGAUUUUUUUUGUAUUCCAUGCAACGUUCCCCAACGGUGUCAUCAUGAGCCAGGUCUAUGCGUAGAUGAUAUGCACGAGUAGAACACAAAAUAGUUGUGGGCGGUGAUGGUCAUACUGCUUACCACCAACGUCUUAUAUUGAUUCGGUGGUAUUGUGCGAUGAAGCAGCCCGGACCAACCUUACAUGUCCACGCACAUGAGACCAGUUCCACCGACUAACAUGCAACUUGUUUUGCAUAAAGGUGGAUGGCAGGUGUUUGUUUCUCUUACUUUAGUUGGAUCGAAUUUGGCUACAGCCGGUCCUUGAAGAAGGUUAAAACAUCAAACUUGAUAAUCACCUUCUGGUUUUGCGUAGUUAAGAACGGUUGUUUCUAGUUGCCCGUAGCGGCCAUGUAAAACUUGCAACAACAAAGUUGAGGACAUCUAACUUGUUUUUUGCAGGGCAUGUUGUGAUGUGAUAUAGUCAACAUAUGAUAUGUUUUGUAAUAAGUUCAUGACUUGCAUGUUGAUGAGUACGACAACUGGUAGGACCCUUAGGGUUGUCUUUAAUUAUUGUAUGACCUGCGUGUCAAUCAUUAAGCACCAUGUAAUUGCUUUUACUUUAUCGCUAUGCGUUAGCAAUAGUUGUAGAAGCAAUAGUUGGCGAGACGACCCCGACGCUACGGUGGAGAGCAAGGUGUCGAGCCGGUGAUGAUGGAGAUCAUGACGAUGCUUUGGAGAUGGAGAUCAAAAGCACAAGAUGAUGGUGGCCAUAUCAUGUCACAUAUUUUGAUUGCACGUGAUGUUUAUCCUUUAUGCAUCUUAUUUUGCUUAGAACGAUGGUAGCAUUAUAAGAUGAUCCCUUCACUUAAUUUCAAGAUAAAAGUGUUCUCCCUGAGUAUGCACCGUUGCCAAAGUUCAUCGUUUCGAAGCACCUCGUGAUAAUCAGGUGUGAUAAACUCUACGUUCACAUACAACGGGUGUAAGAUAGUUUUGCACAUGCAGAAUACUUGGGUUAAACUUGACGAGCCUAGCAUAUACAGACAUGGUCUCGGAACACUGGAGAAGGUCGAACGUGAGUCAUAUAGUAGAUAUGAUCAACAUAGAGAUGUUCACCAUUGAUGACUACCCCAUCUCACGUGAUGAUCGGACAUGGGUUAGUUGAUUUGGAUCAUGUAUCACUUAGAUAACUUGAGGGAUGUUAAUUUAAGUGGGAGUUCAUUAGUAAUUUGAUUAAUUCAACUUAAUUUAUCAUGAACUUAGUCUUAAUAGUUUUUGCAUAUCUAUGUUGUAGAUCAAUGGCCCGUGCUACCUUUCCCUUGAAUUUUAAUGUGUUCCUAGAGAAAGCUAAGUUGAAAGAUGAUGGUAGCAACUACACGGACUGGGUCCGUAACUUGAGGAUUAUCCUCAUUGCUGCGCAGAAGAAUUAUGUCCUUGAUGCACCGCUAGGUGACAAACCCGCUCCCGCUAAUCUAGACAUUGUGAACGCCUGGCAGACGCGGAAUGAUGACUACUCAGUAGUUCAGUGUGCCAUGCUUUACGUCUUAGAAACGGGGCUCCAAAAGCGUUUUGAACACCAUGGAGCAUAUGAGAUGUUCCAAGAGCUGAAAAUGAUAUUUCAAGCAAAUGUCCGGGUUGAGAGAAAUGAAGUGUCCAACAAGUUCUAUAGUUGUAAGAUGGAGGAGAAUAGUUCUGUCAGUGAACACAUACUCAGAAUGUCUGGGUACCAUAACCACUUGACUCGGCUGGGAAUUGAGCUCCCAGAUGAGCGUGUUAUUGAUAGAAUUCUUCAAUCACUGCCACCAAGCUAUAAAGGCUUCAUGAUGAACUAUAAUAUGCAAGGGAUGAUGAAAACAAUUCCCGAGCUCUUCGCGAUGCUGAAACCGGUGGAGGUACGAAUCAAGAAGGAGCAUCAAUUGUUGAUGGUUAACAAGACCACCAGUUUUAAGAAAAAGGGCAAGGGAAAGAAAUGGAACUUCAAGAAGAAUGACAAGCAAGUUGCCGCUCCCGUGGAGAAGCCUAAAAUUGGACCCAAGCCUGAGACUGGGUGCUUCUACUGCAAGGGUAAUGGUCACUGGAAGCGGAACUGCCCCAAAUAUUUGUGGAUAAGAAGGAUGGCAAAGUGAACAAAGGUAUAUUUGAUAUACAUGUUAUUUUUGUGUUCCUUACUAAUGCUUGUAGCAACGCCUGGGUAUUUAAUACUGGUUCGGCUGCUCAUAUUUGUAACUCAAAACAGGAGCUGCGGAAUAAACGAAGAUUGGCUAAGGACGAGGUGACGAUGCGCGUCGGGAAUGGUUCCAAUGUCGAUGUGAUCUUCAUCAGCAUGCUACCUCUACAUCUACCUUCAGGAUUAGUUUUAGACCUCGAUAAUUGUUAUUUGGUGCCAGCGUUGAGCAUGAACAUUAUAUAUGGAUCUUGUUUAUUGUGAGACGGUUAUUCAUUUAAGUCAGAGAAUAAUGGUUGUUCUAUUUAUAUGAGUAAUAUCUUUUAUGGUCAUGCACCUUUGAUGAAUGGUCUAUUCUUGUUGAAUCUCAAUCGUAGUGAUACAUAUAUUCAUAAUAUUGAUGCCAAAAGAUGCAAAGUUGGUGAUGAUAGUGCAACAUACUUGUGGCACUGCCGUUUAGGUUAUAUUGGUGUAAAGCCCAUGAAGAAACUCCAUGCGGAUGUACUUUUGGAAUCACUUGAUUAUGAAUCAUUUGAUAGUUGCGAACCAUGCCUCAUGGGUAAGAUGACUAAAACUCCGUUCUCCAGAACAAUGGAGCGAGCUAAUGACUUAUUGGAAAUAAUACAUACCGAUGUAUGCGGUUUGAUGAGUGUUGAGGCAUGCGGCGUGUAUCGUUAUUUUCUGACCUUCACAGAUGAUUUGAAUAGGUAUGGUUAUAUCUAUUUGAUGGAACACGGGUCUAAAACAUUUGAAAAGUUCAAACAAUUUCGAGUGAAGUGGAGAAUCAUCGUAACAAGAAAUUAAACUUUCUAUGAUCUGAUCGUGGAGACGAAUAUUUGAGUUACGAGUUUGGCCUUCAUUUAAAACAAUGUGGAAUUGUUUCACAACUCACGCCACCUGGAACACCACAGCGUAACGGUGUGUCCGAACGUCGUAACCGUACUUUAUUAGAUAUGGUGCGUUCUAUGAUGUCUCUUACCGAUUUUCCUUUAUCGUUUUGGGGUUAUGCAUUAGAGACAACCGCAAUCACGUUAAAUAGGGCACCAUCUAAAUCCGUUGAGACGACACCGUAUGGACUGUGGUUUGGCAAGAAACCUAAGCUGUCAUUUCUUAAAGUUUGGGGAUGCGAUGCUUAUGUCAAAAGGCUUCAGCCUGAUAAGGUCGAACCCAAAGCGGAGAAGUGCGUCUUCAUAGGAUACCCGAAAAAAACUAUUGGGUAUACCUUCUACCAUAGAUCUGAAGGCAAAAUCGUUGUUGCUAAGAAUGGGUCCUUUCUAGAGAAAAAGUUUCUCUCGAAAGAAUUCAGUGGGAGGAAAGUAGAACUUGAUGAGGUAGUUGUACCUUCUCUCGUGUUGGAAAGUAGCACAUCAGAGAAAAUUGUUCCCGUGAUGUCUACACCAACCAGAGAGGAAGCAAAUGAUAAUGAUCAUGAAACUUCAGAUCAAGUUACUACUUAACUUCGUAGGUCAACCAGAACAUGUUCCUCACCAGAGUGGUACGGUAAUCCUGUCUUGGAAGUCAUGUUGUUGGACAACGGCGAUCCUACGAACUAUGAAGAAGCUAUGAUGAGCCCAGAUUCCGACAAAUGGCUUGAGACCAUGAAAUCUGAGAUAGGAUCCAUGUAUGAGAAUAAAGUGUGAAAUUUGGUGGACUUGCCCGAUGAUCGGCAAGCCAUUGAGAAUAACUGGAUCUUCAAGAAGAAGACAGACGCUGAUGGUAAUAUCAUUGUCUACAAAGCUUGACUUGUCGCAAAAGGUUUUCGACAAGUUCAAGGGGUUGACUACGAUGAGACUUUCUCACCCGUAACGAUGCUGAAGUCCGUCUGAAUCAUGUUAGCAAUUGUUGCAUUUUAUGAUUAUGAAAUUUGGCAAAUGGACAUCAAAACUGCUUUCCUUAAUGGGUUUCUUAAAGAAGAGUUGUAUAUGAUGCAACCAGAAGUUUUUGUCGAUCCUAAAGGUGCUAACAAAGUGUGCAAGCUCCAGCGAUCCAUCUAUGGACUGGUGCAAGCAUCUCGGAGUUGGAAUAAAUGCUUUGAUGAGGUGAUCAAAGCAUUUGGUUUUAUACUGACUUAUGGUGAAGCCUGUAUUUACAAAAAAAAGUGAGUGGGAGCUCUGUGGAAUUUCUAAUAUUAUAUGUGGAUGACAUAUUGCUGAUUGGAAAUGAUAUAGAAUUUCUCGAUAGCAUAAAAGAAUUUUUGAAUAAGAAUGUUUCAAUGAAAGACCUUGGUGAAGCUGCUUACAUAUUGGGUAUCAAGGAUCUAUAGGGAUAGAUUGAGACGCUUAAUAGGAAUUUCACAAAGCACAUAUCUUUACAAAGUUCUGAAGAAGUUCAAGAUGGACUAGUCAAAGAAAGGGUUCUUGCCUAUGUUGCAAGGUGUGAAAUUGAGUAAGACUCAAAGCCCGACCACGACAGAAGAUAGAGAGAGAAUGAAAGGCAUUCCCUAUGCCUCAGCCAUAGGUUCUAUAAUGUAUGCCAUGUUGUACGUGUACCAGACCUGAUGUGUGCCUUGCCAUAAGUUUGGCAGGGAGGUACCAAAGUAAUCCAGGAGUGGAUCAGUGGACAGCGGUCAAGAAUAUUCUGCGGUACCUGAAAAGAACCAAGGAUAUGUUUCUCGUUUAUGGAGGUGACGAGGAGCUCGUCGUAAAGGGUUACGUCGAUGCUAGCUUCAACACAGAUCCAGAUAACUCUAAGUCACAAACUGCAUAGGUGUUUAUAUUAAAUGGUGGAGCUGUCAGCUGGUGCAGUUCUAAGCAGAGCGUCGUGGCGGGAUCUACGUGUGAAGCUGAUACGUCUCCAACGUAUCUAUAAUUUUUUAUUGUUCCAUGCUGUUUUAGUAUCAAUCUUGGAUGUUUUAUAAUCAUUUAUAGUCAUUUUAUAUCAUUUUUUGGUACUAACCUAUUGACAUAGUGCCCAGUGCCAGUUGUUGUUUUUUCCAUGUUUUUUACAUCGCAGAAAAUCAAUAUCAAACGGAGUCCAAAUGCCACGAAACUCCAUGGAGAUUUUUUAUGAACCAGAAGGAAGCUAUUGGGCCCUGGUUGCACCUGGGGGGAGUCCCGAGGAGGGGACAACCCACCAGGGCGCGCCAGGAGGCCCAGACGCGCCCUGGUGGGUUGUGCCCACCCCAGGUGCCCCCCGGACCGCCUCUUUGCUCUAUAAAUACCCAAAUAUUCUAGAAACCCUAGGGGAGUUGACGAAAUAUUCAUCCAGCCGCCGCAGAGUCCAGAACCACCAGAUCCAAUCUAGACACCAUCUCGGAUGGGGUUCACCACCUCCAUUGGUGCCUCUCCGAUGAUGCGUGAGUAGUUCUUUGUAGACCUUCGGGUCCGUAGUUAGUAGCUAGAUGGCUUCAUCUCUCUCUCUGAAUUCUCAAUACAAUGGUCUCUUGGAGAUCCAUAUGAUGUAACUCUUUUGUGGUGUGUUUGUUAGGUUCUGAUGAACUUCGAGUUUAUGAUCAGUUAUAUCUUUUUAUAUCCAUGAAAGUUAUUUGAGUUUCUUUGAUCUCUUAUAUGCACGAUCUCUUAUAGCCUCGUAUUUCUUCUCCGAUAUUUGGGUUUUGUUUGGCCAACUUGAUCUAUUUAUCUUGCAAUGGGAAGAGGUGCUUUGUAGUGGGUUCAAUCUUAUGAUGCUUGAUCCCAUUGACAGAAAGGGAAACGACACGUAUGUAUCGUUGCUACUAAGGAUAAAACGAUGGGGUCUAUCUCUACAUAGAUAGAUCUUGUCUACAUCAUGUCAUCAUUCUUAUUGCAUUACUCCAUUUUUCCAAGAACUUAAUACACUAGAUGCAUGCUGGAUAGCGGUCGAUGUGUGGAGUAAUAGUAGUAGAUGUAGGCAGGAGUCGGUCUACUAAUCUUGGACGUGAUGCCUAUAUAAUAAUCAUUGCCUGGAUAUCUACAUGAGUAUUUGAAGUUCUAUCAAUUGCCCGACAGUAAUUUGUUUACCCACCGUUUGCUAUUUUUCUCGAGAGAAGCCACUAGUGAAACCUACGGCCCCGGGUCUCUUUCUUAUAUAUUUGCCUUUGCGAUCUACUUUUUCCUAGCAUUUUUAUUCAGAUCUAUUAAACCAAAAAUACAAAAAUACCUUGCUGCGUUUUAUUUCUAUUUAUUUUAUUUGGCGUUGGAUCUAUCAAUCUACUACAGUUUAUUCCCGUCUGCACGCCAUUUCUGGCACCGUUACCCGAAAGGGAUUGACAACCCCUUUAACACGUCGGGUUGCGAGUGGUUGUUAUUUGUGUGCAGGGGCUGAUUAGGUUGUGUUGCUUGGUUCUCCUACUGGUUCGAUAACCUUGGUUUCAUAUCUGGGGGAAAUACCUACCGCCGCUGUGCUGCAUCAUCCCUUCCUCUUUGGGGAAAUACCGACGUAGCUUCAAGCGACAUCAGAAGCGGAGUACAUAGCUGCUUCGGAAGCAGUGCAUGAAGGAGUUCGUAUCCGAUCUAGGGGUAAUACCCAGUGCAUCGGGUCCAAUGACAAUCUUUUGUGACAGCACUGGAGCAAUUGCCUUAGCGAAGGAAUACAAGUUUCACAAGAGAACCAAACACAUCAAGCGACGCUUCAACUCCAUUCACGAAUAUGUUGAGGAUGGAGACAUAGAAAUUUGUAAAGUGCAUAUGGAUAUGAAUGUAGCAGACCCGUUAACUGAGCCUCUUCCACGAGCAAAACAUGAUCAACGCCAAGACUCCAUGGGUGUUACAUUCAUUACAAUGUAAUCCAGAUUAUUGACUAUAGUGCAAGUGGGAGACUGAUGGAAAUAUGCCCUAGAGGCGAUAAUAAAGUUGUUAUUAUUAUAUUUCCUUAUUCAUUAUAAAGGUUUAUUAUUCAUGCUAGGAUUGUAUGGAGCAGAAACUUAAAUACAUGUGUGGAUACAUAAACAAAUAUGUGUCCCUAGUGAGCCUCUACUAGACUAGCUCAUUGAUCUAAAGAUGGUUAAGGUUUCCUAACCAUAGACAUGAGUUUUCAUUUUAACGGGAUAUCAUCAUUAGGAGAAUAAUGUGAUGGACAAGACCCAACCGUUAGCAUAGCAUAUGAUCGUUCAGUUUAUUGCUAUUGCUUUCUUAAUGUCAAAUACAUAUUCCUUCGACCAUGAGAUCAUGCAACUCCCGGAUACCGGAGGAAUAUCUUGUGUGCUAUCAAACGUCACAACAUAACCGGGUGAUCAUAAAGAUGCUCUAACGGUAUCUCCGAAGGUGUGUGUUGAGUUGGCAUUGAUCGAGACUGGGAUUUGCCACUCCGUAUGACGGAGAGGUAUCUCUGGGCCCUCUCGGUAAUACAACAUCACAAGAAGCUCGCAAGCAAAGUGACUAAGGAGUUAGUUACAAGAUUAUGUAUUACGGAACAAGUAAAGAGACUUGUCGGUAACGAGAUUGAACUAGGUAUGAAGAUACCGACGAUCGAAUCUCGGGCAAGUAACAUAUCGACAGACAAAGGGAAUUACGUAUGUUGUCAUAAAGGUUUGAACGAUAAAGAUCUUCGUGGAAUAUGUAGGAAUCAAUAUGGGCAUCCAGGUCCUGCUAUUGGUUAUUGAACGGAGAGGCAUCUCGGUCAUGUCUACAUCAUCCUCGAACCCGUAGGGUCUGCACGCUUAACGUUCGUUGACGAUGUAGUAUUAUAUGAGUUAUGUGAGUUUAUGACCAAAUGUUGUUCGGAGUCCUAGAUUAGAUCACGGACAUGACGAGGAGCUCCAGAAUGGUCUGGAGGUAAAGAUUGAUAUAUAGGACAAUGCUAUUUGGUCACCGGAAAGGUUUCAGAAUGUACCGGGUAGUCAUCGGAUCACCGGAAGGGGUUCCGGGAGGCCCCGGGAGGUUAUUGGGCCAUAUGGGCCAAACGAGGGGAGCACACCAGCCACAAGGGGCUGGCGCGCCCCACCUAUAGGCCGCUGGCCCUAACGGAGGAAUGGGGGGAGGGCUAGCCCCUCCCUCCUUCCCCUCCUCAUGAGAGAAAGAAAAGGGGGGCACACCCUCCUGCCUCCCCCCUCCCCCCCGCGCGCGCCCAAGAAGGAAGGGGCGGCCAAGGGCAGGAGCCCAAGGCGGCCGCCGGCCCCUUGGGGGAGCCCUAGGCUGCCUCCCCACCUCCCCCACCUAUAUAUAUGUGAGGAGGGAGAGGGGCAACAGACACCAUGAUCCCCAGGCCGUGUGCGGCGCCCCUCUCCCUCUAGUUCAUCCUCGGUCAUUUUUUUGUAGUGCUCGGCGAAGCCCUGCAGAGAUAGUUGCAUCACCACCAUCACCACACCGUCGUGCUGCCAGAACUCAUCUACUACUUCACCCGUCUUGUUGGAUCAAGAAGGCGAGGACGUCAUCGAGCUAAACGUGUGCUGAACGCGGAGGUGUCGUACAUUCGGUAUUUGAUCGAGCGGAUCGUGAAGGUGUAUGACUAUAUCAACCACGUUGAUAAACGCUUUCGCUUAACGGUCUACGAGGGUACGUAGACACACUCCCCUGUCUCGUAGCUAUGCAUUUCCAUACAUAGAUCUUGCGUCUGCGUAGAUUUUUUUUUGUUUUCCAUGUAACGUUCCCCAACAGAAACAUUAUAGUUCUAAAUUAAGAGGAAAUGACUUCUAUACACCAAGAUUCUUCCAGGCCCAAAAUUAACUCCAUGCCAUGGUUGAGGCCCUGCCCAGCAUCUUAUCAAUGCAUUUCUUCCAGGAUGAAAAGGAAAUACAUUGAAAAUUAAAUGGCAUGGUCAUCCGAUGGACUCCUUCGAGGCAAAAAAAAAUCCCCUCCACGCCAUGGUUGAUGCCGUGCCAGGCGGAUGCGUUUCUUUUAGGAGGAAAAGAAAGCCAACUUUGGAAUAGAAAUUCAUCAAUUGGUUCUACUGGAACCGGCCGGAACCGAUCUCCCAGCGGCACCGUAGUUACCUUAUUCGGAACGGAGACAGGUACGGGAAGGGAGAACCAGGGUACGCAUGGCACUAAACCGGUAAGCUAACAUAACCUAGAGAAUCCCAGAGAGCUACAGAGGCGAGCAACACCGACGAUCAAGCCGGAGGAGCGCCCUGAAGCAGAGAUCGGCUCCCAGACGCCGUAGCCACUGAGAAAACUGGUGUUAUUUUCGGGGAGAGAGAGUCGAUCGUUUUGUGAUUUUUCCCCUAGGGAGAGAGAGGCGCUGUGGAUUACGAUUGGAACUGAAAACGGAGAGACAAAGGCUCGAAAGAUAAUGCCUCAGGAAUUUUGUUUGUAGCAAAAGAUUAAUUGAAGAGAUUAGCAGUGAUCUAAACAUUUUUAUAUUUCUUUAAGGAGGGAGUAUGUAAUAAGGUGGAACCACGUGUAAGGCUACCAACGGAACCGUGCAUGAAGGGGCCUCACAUGCCCUCAUCGUCAGUUACAAAGUACUCCCUUCGUCCCAUAAUAUAAAAACGUUUCUUACACUAUACGGAGGGAGUAGUUUUCUUUUCUGUAGAUUGUCCAGCUGUCUUGACAUGGGAAUCAAAAAAAAUCCACCACCGUGGAUGUAGGUCACACCGAUUGGCUGCUCAUUGCAAACUGAAUAAUGACGUGUCAUGGUGCUGAUGUGGACAGUGUGCAUGUUAAAAGAAUUGAUAGUAGUGGAGAUGAACUUCUUAAGAAUGUAUAAAAAAUAGACAUCAAUAACAUAUAUUAGGAAAAAAUUUAAUCAUGUAUUUUAAUGUUUUUACACAUGUAUAAAAAAUAUGUUUGAAAUGUGUACAAAUAAUGUAAAAUGCCUAUAAAUAUUAGGCAUAAAACAUAUACAUGAGAAAAAAUGUUCAUUAUGUAAAAGAUGUUAAACAUGUAUACAAAAGUGUUCCUUAUGUAUACAAAAAAUGUACAAUGUAGAUGUAAAAAAAGCAAACAUCAAAACUAUAUAUUUGGCGAAAAUAUUAACCAUGUAUCCGAAAAAUAUUCAACAUGUAUAAAAAAAUUAAACUUAUACAAUAAACAUGUAUAAAAUUGUACAUGUUCUAAAGAGAUAAAAAAUAAACAAAGAAAGACAAAGUAAAACAAUGUAAAUCAAGAAAGAAACAAAGAAAGCCAAGAAAGAAAAAGUGAAAAUGAAAGAAAACCAAUGUAAAAAGUGUUAAAACAGUGUAACUGACAAAGAAACAAAUAAAACCAAGAACCAUUGAAAACCAAAAAAGGAACAAAGAAACUGGAGAACAAGAAAAGAAAAUAAGUGCAAAAAUGAAAACAAUGAAACGUAGAGAUAAAAAGUGAAAAUAGAAGAUCGAUGAAAACCAAGAAAGAAACAAAGAAAAUAAAGAAAAACAAAUAAAAAGGCAAAAAAAUGAAGACUGACAAAGAAACAAAGAAAACAGAUAAGAAAAAUAAAGAAGCGGAAAACCAGAAAAAACAAAAGGCAAAGGAAAAUGAAUAAAUAACCUAAAGGAAACUGGGCCAAAGUAGUACAGCGGCCGAUACCUCGACCAAGUGAGCGCGCCAACGAGAGAACAAAUGGACCGACCCAGUUAUAACGCACGGGAGAAAAUCCCUGAGGUUAUAAACAAGAAAUAACAGUUUCUCAAAAAGAAAAUGAGAAAUAACAUUUAGAGUGCUUAUUCGUGUAAUAUUAACACUCGCUUGAAAUCUUAUCGAUAACUGAGAUACCCGUCGACUGAGAGAGCAAUUAAUUUAGAAGUGCUCUUUCUAGAGCCUUCCCAAGGGUCACUUGGGGUGGGCUGAGAGCACGUCACGUGUAGCGCUCUGGGCACUCCCCUUAUUUUUUUAUUUUUUCGCACGUUUUUUUUCUUUUUAUUUGGAUUUUCGGCUUUUAGAUUUUUCACUGAUCUUUCUUAGCUUUUUGGAAAAAAAUUGAUUUUUUGUUGGAAAAAUACCUGUUUUUUGCUUCUGCGAGGGGCACUGCCCUGCCUCUGGAAAUGAAAAGCAAAACGUGUUUUCUUUCUUUUUCCUUUCAUAAGAGGUACGGUUUUGCUUCCACGAGAGGUACGGCCGUGACUCUCGGAAAUUAAAAAACACAUUUUCUUUUUUUUUUCCUUCCGUGAGAGGUGUGGUUUUACUUCCGCGAGAGGAAUGGUUUUGCUUCGGCGAGAGGUACGACCGUGCCUCUCGAAAUUGGAAAAAAUACGUGUUUUUUCUUUUCUUUUGUGAGAGUCAUGGUUUUGCUUCGCGAGAAGCAUGGCCGUGUCUCUUGGAAACAAGAAAAAAACGCAUUUUCUUUUUUUUUCUGUGAGGGGCAUGGUUUUGCUUCCGCGAAAGCCACGACAAAACGGUUCUAAAUUUGAACACACGGUUUAAGAAAUAAAACAUUUUCAAUAAACAGAUUUAUAAAAAAAAAUCACAUGUUGCAACAAGUGGCACAUAUGCAACGUGCCACUUAUCGCAGCCUUUGAAAAAGAAAUGCUCCUCAAUUAGUGAUCCGGGCCGACCAAACAGGAAAAAGAAGUCUUGCGUCGUCGCUUGAUCCUGUCAGCCCAUAUAUAAUACUCCUACUCCCUCUGUCCCAUAAUAUAAGAGCAUUUUUAACGCUAGUGGAGUGUCAAAAACGUUCUUAUAUUUUAGGACAGAGGAAGUACUAUUUUACCGUUUCCAUAUGUCACGGAUCCGUCAAUUACAUAAUGUCAGACUUCACACUGUCAUACACGUGCUUACGUAUUAAACCCAAUAAGAGUCGCGGUAUGAACGCCUCCUCGCACGCUCCACCUGUCCCGAUUUUACUGUGCCGACUUUUUUUAACCGGAAAAAGUGGAAACGAAGGGAGCUAGCUCGCAUGAGACAAAUUACCCAGCUGUCACGCCCAAUAUGCGACCCUAUCCGAGAGGAACUCGAAGGUCCCACUAAGGAUAGACCCGCAUAUUGAAACGCUUUUGCAAGGUGGAUAUCAUUACAUCAACAUUACAUAAUAGAUGAUGAUACAUACAAGGCAUACAAAUGUCGCACGAAUACAUCAAUACAACAUACGUAAGAUCAACAUCCGACUACGGAUGAAACACAAACAGAAGCUUAAACGACAUCCACCCUGCUAGCCCAGGCUGCCGACCUGGAAGCUAUCCCCUGAUCGAAGAAGAAGCAGAAGAAGAACUCCAAAACAAGUAACAUCGCUCUCGCGUCAUGAUCAUCGCAAACCUGUACCUACAACUGUUGUUGUAGUAAUCUGUGAGCCACGAGGACUCAGCAAUCCCAUUACCAUGGGUAUCAAGACUACCAAGCUUAAUGGGUAAGGAAGGGGUAAAGUGGUGAGGUUGCAGCAGCGACUAAGCAAGUAUGGUGGCUAACAUACGCAAAUAAGAGCGAGAAGAGGAGCAACAGAACGGUUGCGAAACUAGCAAUGAUCAAGAAGUGAUCCUAAACUCCUACUUACGUCAAACAUAACCCAAAAACCGUGUUCACUUCCCGGACUCCGCCGAAAAGAGACCAUCACGGUUACACACGCGGUUGAUGCGUUUUAGUGAAGUCAAGUGUCAAGUUCUCUACAACCGGACAUUAACAAAUUCCCAUCUGCCACAUAACCGCGGGCACGGCUCUCGAAAGUUUAUACCCUGCAGGGGUGUCCCAACUUAGCCCAUUAUAAGCUCUCACGGUCAACGAAGGAUAUUCCUUCUCCCGGGAAGACCAGAUCAGUCUUGGAAUCCCGGUUUACAAGACAUUUCGACAAUGGUAAAAUAAGACCAGCAAAGCUGCCCGAUGUGUCGACAAUCCCGAUAGGAGUCGCACGUAUCUCGUUCUCAGGACACACCGGAUAAGCGAAGCGUACAGGUACCGACGUAACCCAAGUUGCCAAGGGAUGGUCCCGCACGGUGCUCUAGUUUGGACCAACACUCCGAGGAGCACUGGCCCCGGGGGGGGGGGGGUAAAAUAAGAUGACCCUCGGGAGCGCGACUCCCAAGGGAAAAAAGGUUGGGCCUUGCUGGAGGAGUUUUAUUCAAAGUGAACUGUCAAGGGGUCCCCAUAACAACCCAACCACGUUAGGAACGCAAGAUCAAGGAACAUAACACCAAUAUGACGGAAACUAGGGCGGCAAGAGUGGAACAAAACACCAGGCAUAGGCCGAGCCUUCCACCCUUUACCAAGUAUAUAGGUGCAUUAAUUAAAUAAAAGAUAUUGUGAUAUCCCAACAUAAACAUAAUCCAACAUGGAGCAAUCUUCAACUUCACCUGCAACUAGCAACGCUAUAAGAGGGGCUGAGCAAAAGCGGUAACAUAGCCAAAUAACGGUUUGCUAGGAAUGGUGACAAAGGUUAGAGGUUCAUGGCAAUUUGGGAGGCUUGAAGAGCAAGUGAUAGGUAGCGCAGCAAAGCGAUAGAACGAAGCAACUAGCAUAGCAAUGAUAGUAAUGAGAUCCAAGGUAACAGUCAUCUUGCCUGAAAUCCCGCAAGGAAAAAGAAUGAGUCCAUGAAGAAGAUGAAGCCACGAAGACGAACGAAUCCUCACGCUCGCAACGACACGGGAACUAUCGAGAAGAAGCACACAACAUAGUAAACACACCACACAUGAACAAGGCAUGAUGCUCAACCAAGUAUGAUGCAUGACAAGGCUAUAUGAAGCUACUCAUGGCAAGAGAUGAUGCAUACAAGAGCAACACAUCAAAACAAGUUUAAAUGAGGCCGGAAACAACCUAUAACAAUUCCGGUAAGUCCUCAUAUGCAAAUUUUGAAAUUGGUCCAGAUCUGAAUAAACCUUAUGUUCAAGUUGUUAAACAGCAAGUUAAAAUACACCAAGAUGAUCUACACAAAAUUCUAGUCAAGUUACAUAUAAAGUUCAUUAGCUUCGGAGCUACGGCCUAGAAGAUAUGAGCAAAACAAGUUAAACAUGGUAUUGAUGCAAAAUGCGUUCAAACAUCAAGCAAACACACUCAAGGCAUGGAUCCAACAAGGUAAUAUGAAACUACAUGCAAAACUAAGCAAGUUUCAUAUAGAGCGUGCUCACAACGGAGCAACGGGGCAACACAUACACUCCAAACAACAUAUAGCAACAAUCUGUCCAAAACAGCAACUAGGCAUCUUGCUAGCAUCAAAACAAUAUGCUACAGUAUCUUAACAUGAAAACAAAUGACAUGGGCAUGAUGUACAGGUAAAGCAUUACAAAACAUGAACACUGAACUAUCUUCAGAAAUCACUAGAACAUGCUCAAAAGGACAUGGUAAGAUUGCAAACAAUAACAGUUCACAGAUUUAGCAGAAAAUCACUGGACAUGGCAGAAAUAACAUCAGGUUGCAAAGUUUAGAGCUAUCAAACAACAUGCUAUAGGACCAUAUCAUAGAAAACAAAGGCAUGGCAUGAAUCUACUAAUUGCAUAGAACAAAAGUCUCUUACUGAACAUGAGCUAAAAAGGCACAGAAGAUAUGAUGGCACCCAGGUAAACAUAGCAAGUUUUAUUAGCAGCUAUCAGACUUAGAAGAAAACAGAGCAUGUCAGAAAUAACGAUAAGUAGGCAUGUUGGUGAGCUUGAACCACUCACUACAGAGCAUUAUAUGGCAUGACAAGGUAACCAGCAGUAAUAAGGCAUAAUUAUGAAGCUAAGCAUGGCAAUAGCAUAGUCAUAGGAUGCAUGGACCACUAAUAACACCCAUGGCAAAAUUGAUUAACAUGUAAACAAUCUGCCAGGAACAUUUUAAAGCAAAAGUAGAGCAAGAUUAAGACAUGCUAGAGCACUCCAUAAUUGCAACCAUGGGCAUGGAUAGAUAGAUCAUAACAUGUAUAAUAAAACAUUCUUAGUGAACAUCUCCAUAUUAUGCAUAGAACUCAUGGUGGCAGCAGGUUUACAUAGCAACAAAAUAUAACAGAUUCAGACUUAGCAGAAAUGACUAAGUCACAGAAAUCAGCAACAUCAUGGAGGCUACUUUGCAUGCUUGUGCUAGUCACCACAUAGAUCCUAAAAAUACAAUACUAGCACCACUGUAAAGAUGGCGUGAUGUAGAACAAAACACAUGUAGACAUCAAGCUCAUAGGAUGCACACACAAAAUGCAAUGAAAAAGACAAAUCACCAAGUUCUGAUAACAGACAGCAGAUAACAUCAUAUAGCACUCUUGCAACGAUGAUUAGGGCAUCAACAUGGACUCAAACAAGCAUGGCACAAUGGAACAAAAUAAAGAGCAUCUCAAGACGAACCUUUCGAUAUAUCAUGCACGCAAAAUGGAGCUAUGGUCAUGGAGAUAUGGCAGGCCAAAGUAUGCAAGAUGCAACAGUUUCCAGGGACUUGCAGAAAUUUCGAAAAAAACAGGGUGAGCGUAAUAUAGCUAAGUAGCGCACGGGCGAAGGGUAGCCGGGCUUCUCACCAGCGUGGCCUUGGGCCGGAGAGAGGCGGAGUUGGGCCGGGGCUGGGCCGGANNNNNNNNNNNNNNNNNNNNNNNNNNNNNNNNNNNNNNNNNNNNNNNNNNNNNNNNNNNNNNNNNNNNNNNNNNNNNNNNNNNNNNNNNNNNNNNNNNNNNNNNNNNNNNNNNNNNNNNNNNNNNNNNNNNNNNNNNNNNNNNNNNNNNNNNNNNNNNNNNNNNNNNNNNNNNNNNNNNNNNNNNNNNNNNNNNNNNNNNNNNNNNNNNNNNNNNNNNNNNNNNNNNNNNNNNNNNNNNNNNNNNNNNNNNNNNNNNNNNNNNNNNNNNNNNNNNNNNNNNNNNNNNNNNNNNNNNNNNNNNNNNNNNNNNNNNNNNNNNNNNNNNNNNNNNNNNNNNNNNNNNNNNNNNNNNNNNNNNNNNNNNNNNNNNNNNNNNNNNNNNNNNNNNNNNNNNNNNNNNNNNNNNNNNNNNNNNNNNNNNNNNNNNNNNNNNNNNNNNNNNNNNNNNNNNNNNNNNNNNNNNNNNNNNNNNNNNNNNNNNNNNNNNNNNNNNNNNNNNNNNNNNNNNNNNNNNNNNNNNNNNNNNNNNNNNNNNNNNNNNNNNNNNNNNNNNNNNNNNNNNNNNNNNNNNNNNNNNNNNNNNNNNNNNNNNNNNNNNNNNNNNNNNNNNNNNNNNNNNNNNNNNNNNNNNNNNNNNNNNNNNNNNNNNNNNNNNNNNNNNNNNNNNNNNNNNNNNNNNNNNNNNNNNNNNNNNNNNNNNNGAGGGUGGCGGCGGCGCUGGAUCCGAGGGGGAGGGGUUAGGGGUAGGAUUAGACUAGGGUUGCCCGUUUUUGGAAGGGAGGGGUCUAUAUAUAGGGAAGGCUAGGGUUUAGGGGGGGUUUGGAGCGUCUUGGAGCCUCCGAUCGCCAUCGGACGGCUCCGGUUCGGAGGGGGGGUUAGGCUGGGCCUAGAAGGGGUUAGUGGGCUGUGAAGAGAGGGCUUGGGCUGAGGGGAGAGAAGAGAAGUGCAGCCCGGCGGCAGUUUCGGAUACCGAAACGUCCGACGAAGGUACCGGCAGCGGUACCGCUAUAUGUUUAACGGUUGGGCUAUCAAACGAGCUCCGAAUGCGACGGAACUUGGCAGGCGGCCUACCUACACUAUAAUAAGACCGCACGCCAACUUUCAUCCCAUUCCGAGAACAUUUUUAUGCCACUUAUAAAAUAAUAUUUCGGAGGUGCCGGGGCGCGUGCGAGUGAGUCUGUGCUCAGAACGGACAACGGAGAGAACUGGGAGGACCUUGACGGAUGCAAGUUUUGAAAAACAUGCAGAAGAAAUGCAGAUGAUGACAUGGCAAAAUGCAACACGCCAGCAAAUGACAAGGCAAGGACGGCGAAUAACUGGCAGACACCUGGCGCAUCAGAUCCGGGGCGUUACAACACUCCUCCACUAACAAGAGAUCUCAUCCCAAGAUCUUAGGACCGAGACGGAAGGAAAAAAAGGAAUGAGGUGAAAUAAGAACACAAGAGGAAAAAUAAAGAAUCGAGAGCACUCGAGAAGAAGAGAGGAACGGUGAGAAUGACGAGAAUGAAAUGCUCACGAAAUCAGAUAGACUUGAAACCACUCCGGUUAGAACGAGAUAAGAAAAGAAUAAGACUAAAAGGAUUUAGGCAGCACUUCGGCUGAAACAAGGAAAGAAUAGAACAUGAACUUGAGAAAUGAAACGAUACUUGACUUGAGGAACAACACAAAACCUCCGGAAUACUUGAAAUAGUUGAAUGAAAGGAACGAAGAAGAAAUGAUAUCAUCUACCACAACUGAGUUUGAAAGCAUCCUUAGGAGGAAGGAUUGAACGAAGUUGUUGAGAAAAUCAACAACGAAAAGAAUAAGCUUGUUGUGGUCUUAUGGGUACAUCUCAAAAUCAAGAGGUGAUAACCAACCACAAACGGAAAAGAUUGAAAAGCUGAGAGGAACGAGGAAAUGCAAAACUCCACUUCAGAAGAAUAUGGAGAAUUAAUUGCACUUUGAGAAGCAAGAAGAAGAUACUUGAGCUACGCCUACAAGAAUCUUGAUGAACACUUGAAGAAUGAAUUAAAUCAUGACGAACCACCGUGAUGAACUCCGGUAAAAAAAGGACAACGAGAUAAAAUUGAAGGAUGAAAGGGAUAAGAUUAAAUCCUUGCGACGAUUUGGAUGGAGGUUCAUGACGAAAUCGGCGAGAAGCUUAGAAUUCCGGAAAAGAAAAGAUGAAAACACUUUGAACCGAGAAAGUGAUAAGAUGAACAAUCUCCGAAAAGAAGAGAUAAAACCAUUUGAAGAAAGAAGAAUAAGGAUUACGUUAUGCUUAUCCUUCACCAAUUAAAUUGAUGAGAAACAAUGGAUUUGCAUACUACUUAUUCUCGUUGGAAAGAUUAAGGGGAUAUAGCGCAAAACUUGAGAAAGUCUUCGUGAACCACCGGUAGGAUUUGGAAAGAACGAAUGAAAUGAUAUGAUAACAACAAAAAGAAUCUUGAACGAGCCACCGUAGGAAUAGAAACGAAUAACGAAAAGAGAAUGAAUCACCGGAAAGAAUUAGGAUUUGCGUGCGAGUGUGUCUGUGCUCAAAACAGACAACGGAGAGAACUGGGAGAACCCGGACGGAUGCAAGUUUGGAAAAACAUGCAGAAGAAAUGCAGAUGAUGACAUGGCAAAAUGCAACACGCCAGCAAAUGACAAGACAAGGACGGCGAAUAACUCGCAGACAACACCUGGCGCAUCGGAUCCGGGGCGUUACACGAGCCCCCGUUCCCCAUUCGCCGCCCCCUCCUCCCCGAUUCCUCUCCCUCCCCCUCUUCCUCGUCUGCUGCCGCCACCACUCACCGGAGCCCUCCCCCACCGCCGCCGCCGCCGCUGCCGCCACCGCCAGCGCCACCACCAGCGCCCUGGCCAACAGCCUACAACCCACCCCCCUNNNNNNNNNNNNNNNNNNNNNNNNNNNNNNNNNNNNNNNNNNNNNNNNNNNNNNNNNNNNNNNNNNNNNNNNNNNNNNNNNNNNNNNNNNNNNNNNNNNNNNNNNNNNNNNNNNNNNNNNNNNNNNNNNNNNNNNNNNNNNNNNNNNNNNNNNNNNNNNNNNNNNNNNNNNNNNNNNNNNNNNNNNNNNNNNNNNNNNNNNNNNNNNNNNNNNNNNNNNNNNNNNNNNNNNNNNNNNNNNNNNNNNNNNNNNNNNNNNNNNNNNNNNNNNNNNNNNNNNNNNNNNNNNACCACUGGCAAGCUCCCCCCCUUCACCUCGCCCCAGAUCGAAUGCCAUGGACAAGGUGCUCUCUCCAUCUCUUUUGUGUUCGAUUUGGAGUUGGUUCUCUGUUCGUGAAGCUCCCUCUCUUCUCUGCUACAGGAGAGCAUCUCUCUCUGAUCAUGAAGCAGCCCCAACCCUAGCCCUUCUUUGGCCAUGGCGGCUGAGUAGGCAGGAGGUACGAACCCCUCCUCCCCUCCCAAAACCAGCUCCUGGGUGUGUUCUUCAUCACCUUAUGUGAUCUGUGCCUCUGCGUGUCGAGCCAUGGUGAAUUUUUCUAUGUGUGCUGGACAUUGAGCCAUGGCAUUUUCUAGGGUUUUAUCUACUGUCAUGCUACAUCUGUUUGUGCUUGGAGAGCUGUAAGGUUUUAUCUACUGUGAGGAUUAUCGUCUUAUUUAUCUAAUUCACACUUUGUUUUUUAGAUAUAUUUGUUACAUCCGUUUUCAAGCAUGUGACUAUGAUCCAAUUUGUGCAAGAGCUCCUCGACUUACAUGAUGCAUCACGCCCGCUAACAGACAUGUACCGUGCAAAGUAAAAAAAACGGUUAUGUAGACUACAAUGUUAUUAGCUGCAGGUAGUUGACUAAUUUCUUUCAUACCCAUUAUAUAUGUAGAUAAAGAAAGCACUGCGUGGUGUUCGUGUUGAAGCAAACCACCAGAAAGACCAAAUCAGAAAAUAGAAGAUAACAGGAAUUACUCCUGUCCACAUUGAGCCAGCGGAAGUAAUAAUCUUUUUCGUAUGAUGUUAUAUAUUUGAGCAUUAGUCUCUAUGUUCUAGAACAGCAAAUUAGCCCAUUGUAUUUCUGGAAAGAUGUGGCUUAUAGACUUGAGGCCUUUGUUGCUUGUUUGUUCAUGUUGGUGUGUGAGAAAUUGGGUAGAUGAAUAGCUUUGCAUACAACAUUCUACCUGAGGCCCAUGCAUUUGAUAUCUGUAGGUGGUUACUUUCUCUCUCUAAUGUUGUUUUACUUCUGUUAUUUUGUUGUUGUUAGAUUUCCUGUUGAUGAGAGAGGAACAAUAAUGCCAGUCGUUCAGUACUUCAAGGACAUAUACAACUGCAAUCUGCAGUAUACUACUUGGCCCUGCCUGCAGUCUGGAAGUGAUUAUCGGCCUGUAUAUUUGCCUAUGGAGGUACUGUAUCUAUCCAUGAAUGCUUCCUCAUGUUUUAAUUAGAUAGCAUUUGUCCAGUGUUUCCUACAAAUUGGUUGUAGGCAUGCAAGCUUGUUGAAGGGCAAAGGUACUCUAAGAAGUUGAAUUAUAAACAGGUCACCAACAUACUUAGAGCUACCUGUCAACGUCCCCAGCAGAGGGAGCAAAGCAUUCAUGAGGCACCUGUAUUUAGAUGCUGUGAAUACUGAUAGUAAAUUAUUUUUUCUUAUAGUCUGGAUCAUCUGCUGCACAUUUGUUAAUUUUUUUGAUGACCAGAUUUCGCUAGGCAAUUUCAUGAGUGGGUGCCUGCACAAAUUGCUCGAGUAUUUUCAGCCACAUCAAUGUCCAGCACCUCUUGUAACAAUAUGGACGGCCACUACUUCUUCGGCUCAAGCGUAAUUUCUCGUGUUCACUCUUCUCAUUUGUUGAUGAUAUAGAAAUUUGUUGCUAUCUUUCACACCUUCCUACCUACAUAUUUCGAAUCAUGAACUAGCACUAUGUGUGUUUGCAUAUACAUACACACAACACACUUGAAAUGCUGCGUCGAUAAUCCUUUUAAUUUGAUUUGUAGAUUCUGAUAUGAACAAACUAGAAUUCGAACUUUAAUAUGAAGUUGCCGACAAUGGCCCCCAUUUGGUUUGGAGCACUAAUUGCCUGCUACUGGUAGUGCACUAUUUCAUUGCUUUAGAUGUGGCCCUUUAUUAAAUUUAGUUUGUAAAAUAUCAUAAUCAGACGUGCUUUAUUAAGAAAAUACUACUGAGAUAUGGCUACCUUACACUGUCUAAUCAAAAUAAAUCUAGGUUCUUACAGCAGUAUACUUUUGGCUUCUUUAGUUUGGACAAGCUAGCCAUAUCUGCUUGACUACCAUGACUUCUGGUCUCAGUUAUGACGAUCAUAUUAUCUUGGUUCGCAUAGUAGUACAUGAUUUUGCUUGUCAUUUAGGAUCGACCCCUUCGCCGACGAUGAAUCGACGUCCGGAGCUCUACAGAAACUACCAGCAUGACAGGUAACCUGAUCCAUCCCUGCUCUAAUUCAAACACGGCCACUGAAUCGAAUUCGUUACUCCUGCCCUAAGUCCGCCGUGCGCUGUGGAUUUGUAUUUAAUGCUGGUUUUGGAUGGUGAAUGCAGUUGCAAAUACGAGGAGCAGUGCAGGUUCGUGCACGCCAACUCUAACCAACAGUGAACCCAACCAAUUCAGGUUUUGGUACCGGGAGCAGGCAACAGCCGCAACAUAUUGUUUGGUUAGGUAUUACUAUUAACCAUGGAAAGCUAAAAAAUUGUCGGCACAUCAUCUACUCUAUAAGAUUCCCUCGCAAGAAAAUACUUUAUAAGAUGCUAAAUCUAUUAAUCACACUUGAAAUCCUUGGUUUCAGAGGCAUGCUAAUCAAUCAAUUGAGCAACAACUGAAUUCUGGAGGUAGUGCUGGAUUAUGGAAACUAUUUUAUGAUUUCAUAAUUUUUCUUUUCCAUCAUCUUUCAGUUCUUACCCAUUGCUCUGCUUUUGUAUUCUGCUAUCCUCUGUUGUAGUUUUGUGAGUUUAUCUGUUGUUAAUCCACCAACAGAAGGAAUGCAACAGAAAUGUGCAUGUUAAUGCUUACUAGAUACAUGAUUUCUUUCUUCCGUAGACGAUCCAAAUAUGGGCAUGUAUACUUCAAGACUUAAUUCUAACCAGGCGCUAAGGAAAUCCGCUCUGAACUAAGAAGGAAGAACAGAAGCAACAGCGUACAUCACGAAGAUAGGCACAGAUAAAUGGAUGCAUUCCAAUCCUUCUGAUCCAAAUAUAGAAAAGCAUCCUAUUAGAUUGGUCACCACAGGGUGAGUAUUAUCUAACUUCUCUCCACUGUAAGUAUAACAUAAAUGUAGGAAUGAUUGAACUUACGGAUUUAGAGUGUGAUGCUAAUUAAAUUACACGCACAACCAAAUUAUUUAUUUUUACUUUCAUAAUAGUAAGAUAUGACUUCUGAAGACUUUGUGGUAUGUUCUUGCGUGAUUUUUUUUUCAUAAAUGGGUCUUCAAUUUUGUUUUCAAACCUUUACAUGCCAUCAAUAGUUGUGGAGAUAUCUAUGCGUUUGGUGCUAAAUCGUCAUUUGGUGUGGCGAUCAUGACCAAUGGUAAUGUUUUAAUAGGCUGGAAACCUCCAUCAUUCGUCUAGCUACAAAUUUCAAACUAAUGUCAUAUAUGCGAGUGUCAGCAUCGUGGAAACACUGAGACCUAUUCUGUGAGAAAUAUGAAAUAUGUUUUGGAAAACAUGUGUCAUAAGUUAAUCAUGGGAAAAAAUAAAUCAAAAGAUAUCUUCUAUUCACGUUUUAUUUGUUUUGCUUAUAUACCUAACAAUCAGUGGCAUUUCUUUUUCUAUUUUUUUGCUUCCAUAAAUUUGAUGGGAAGUAGCCAAUGUAUAGUGUUGCUUCACUUACUAUGCUAUAAGCCUUUUUUUGGGCAUUAACUCUGCUGCCAAAGGCAUAUGUAAGCCUUAGAUAUAUGCACUAUAGAAGAAAUGUGGAAUGUUCUGUUAAAGCGUCACAACAUCAAUAAGAAUCUUGCACGCUGUUUAGAUGGUCGAUGGAGAGAUCAAGCAGACUUUUCCCACUAACUUUUUGUCGUCCGUGUCCAGUUUGACGCAGGCUGCCUCCGAACAGCAUGUUGCUUAUGUACAAAUCUUGGAAAAAACUAAUUCUGGAAGCAUCCUUUGAAUAUCAGUACAAACCGGUGCAAUUUUUUAGAUUGAUGUUUCCUAUUGCUCAUCAAUAUAGGUUGCUUUGCCUCUGUCUAUGGUGUUUUUUUUUCUGGAUGGAAUCAUCACCAAAAAAUUCAAAGCAGGUGAUUCUUCCCUUCAGAAUUUAUUCAUUCCCCCCUUAGCUUCCUGAAGAACCAUCAUGUAUCUUAUCCUAAUAGUUUGUGUAUAUAUGUUAAGAAAUGCAAUUCAAGGGACUCGACCAGUAAAAUGGAGUUUUGAUUGGGUAAUUUAAUUAUAGCCUUGAUUACCAUUGUCAAUUUUGUCGUGCAACAACUAACAAGGUAUUGGCUUGCAUACAUGCAAUUUUUAGCAAACAUUAUUCUUAGGAGGUCUCUAUACUUAUCAUUUAACUGCAACAAAGAAUUCAAGCGGCGCUGAUACAAUUGCUGAUCACUUGAUCUGAUGCUUUGCAGAGUAACCACUGAGAAUAUGAAAGAGAGCUUGCAAUUCCAUUCGUCAAUGUGCAGUGGCAGGGAACAAAUUUACAUUUUGUAGGUACGUUCUGGUUCAUACUUUCAUAAUUUGUCAUUGCUUUCCACUUUGUUUAUGCAGAUGUCUGUUCGAGCAAUGCAUUAGGAUAUUUCAUGCCCACAUAAUCACAAAAUAAUUUCUUUAAGAUUUCAUUUUCCAUUGCUUGUUUGGUAUUAAUAUGAUAACUGACAUAGACACACAACAAGCUAACAAUGACAUCAAGUUGUCGGCAGCGGCGACAUCAACGGAUGGAGGGUACGCCUGCUGCAGUGGACUUUGUCAUCUCAUCAACAUCCUCGCCCGUGACAGUACACGGAAGCUUUCUCUUGCUGUUGAAAUCUCUGAAGAAUUUUAUGGAAGGUUUAUUUGUCUCCUUCCACUCCAAAUUUCAAUUUGACAUUUUAUGAAUCUAACUCAAAACCACUUGUUUGUAGAUUGCAUCAAGGGGGAUAUAUUGGUUUUGAGGCACCAGCACUUUUUUGCUUAGGAGUAGUUUUGCUGCUUUGUUGAUAAGCAUACUGAAGGUAUUAUUUCUUUUUCACGACGAGGGCGGUGGCGGGGGUUGCUGCAGCUCCAGCGUGGCCCUGGAGCUCAUGGUGUGCCUCAUACUGUACCUCAACUACCUGUACGUCUGAUGGAGCAAAAGGGACGGUGUGCAUCGAACGGGGCCGGGUCGAUGAGGAAGAGGACCGGCAGAGGGGGCUCGACAAGGUGUCACAUUCAAAAGGCGCGGACGCAUGGUUGCGACAGCAAGGUCGGGGAGGAGUGUGCAGUCUACCUGGGUGCCAUGCAAGAUGGAUACGGCACGGUGGUCGGGCCGACAUGGAGCAUUCUCAUUAUUAUGGAAAAUGAUGGAUAGCAAAAUCCACAAGAUCACCAGCCGAGGGGGGAGGGUGGCUUGACAAGGCGGUGCUGGCAGCUAUGCCCAUGCCAGUGUUCAGAUUCAAGGGGGUCGCGCGAUGGCGCAAAGAUUGGUAGCCACUGCAUAUGUGUUGCUUCAUCAUCAUGCCUUGGAAGCAUGGGUGGCUUCCGCUGCUUGAUGGUUAGCCAUCCAGUACACAAUUAUUUUUUGUUAGCUUGUUUCAAUUGGAAGCAAUAAUUUUUUGCUAUGACUUCUAGAUUGUAAUCCUUCUUGACUUUUGAAUCAGUGAUAAGUGUAAUCCUACUUGACUUUGCAUCAGUGAUAAAUGAUUCAAUGAGUUUGUAAUUAAAUUCAUAGUUGGUGAUAUCUGGCAUGUGUACACAUAAAAACAUGGAAG
rnacentral:lncRNA from 1 species